rnacentral:rRNA from 1 species
GGUUAAGCGACUAAGCGUACACGGUGGAUGCCCUGGCAGUCAGAGGCGAUGAAGGACGUGCUAAUCUGCGAUAAGCGUCGGUAAGGUGAUAUGAACCGUUAUAACCGGCGAUUUCCGAAUGGGGAAACCCAGUGUGUUUCGACACACUAUCAUUAACUGAAUCCAUAGGUUAAUGAGGCGAACCGGGGAACUGAAACAUCUAAGUACCCCGAGGAAAAGAAAUCAACCGAGAUUCCCCCAGUAGCGGCGAGCGAACGGGGAGCAGCCCAGAGCCUGAAUCAGUGUGUGUGUUAGUGGAAGCGUCUGGAAAGGCGCGCGAUACAGGGUGACAGCCCCGUACACAAAAAUGCACAUACUGUGAGCUCGAUGAGUAGGGCGGGACACGUGGUAUCCUGUCUGAAUAUGGGGGACCAUCCUCCAAGGCUAAAUACUCCUGACUGACCGAUAGUGAACCAGUACCGUGAGGGAAAGGCGAAAAGAACCCCGGCGAGGGGAGUGAAAAAGAACCUGAAACCGUGUACGUACAAGCAGUGGGAGCCUCUUUAUGGGGUGACUGCGUACCUUUUGUAUAAUGGGUCAGCGACUUAUAUUCUGUAGCAAGGUUAACCGAAUAGGGGAGCCGAAGGGAAACCGAGUCUUAACUGGGCGUUAAGUUGCAGGGUAUAGACCCGAAACCCGGUGAUCUAGCCAUGGGCAGGUUGAAGGUUGGGUAACACUAACUGGAGGACCGAACCGACUAAUGUUGAAAAAUUAGCGGAUGACUUGUGGCUGGGGGUGAAAGGCCAAUCAAACCGGGAGAUAGCUGGUUCUCCCGAAAGCUAUUUAGGUAGCGCCUCGUGAAUUCAUCUCCGGGGUAGAGCACUGUUUCGGCAAGGGGUCAUCCCGACUUACCAACCCGAUGCAAACUGCGAAUACCGGAGAAUGUUAUCACGGGAGACACACGGCGGGUGCUAACGUCCGUCGUGAAGAGGGAAACAACCCAGACCGCCAGCUAAGGUCCCAAAGUCAUGGUUAAGUGGGAAACGAUGUGGGAAGGCCCAGACAGCCAGGAUGUUGGCUUAGAAGCAGCCAUCAUUUAAAGAAAGCGUAAUAGCUCACUGGUCGAGUCGGCCUGCGCGGAAGAUGUAACGGGGCUAAACCAUGCACCGAAGCUGCGGCAGCGACACUAUGUGUUGUUGGGUAGGGGAGCGUUCUGUAAGCCUGUGAAGGUGUACUGUGAGGUAUGCUGGAGGUAUCAGAAGUGCGAAUGCUGACAUAAGUAACGAUAAAGCGGGUGAAAAGCCCGCUCGCCGGAAGACCAAGGGUUCCUGUCCAACGUUAAUCGGGGCAGGGUGAGUCGACCCCUAAGGCGAGGCCGAAAGGCGUAGUCGAUGGGAAACAGGUUAAUAUUCCUGUACUUGGUGUUACUGCGAAGGGGGACGGAGAAGGCUAUGUUGGCCGGGCGACGGUUGUCCCGGUUUAAGCGUGUAGGCUGGUUUUCCAGGCAAAUCCGGAAAAUCAAGGCUGAGGCGUGAUGACGAGGCACUACGGUGCUGAAGCAACAAAUGCCCUGCUUCCAGGAAAAGCCUCUAAGCAUCAGGUAACAUCAAAUCGUACCCCAAACCGACACAGGUGGUCAGGUAGAGAAUACCAAGGCGCUUGAGAGAACUCGGGUGAAGGAACUAGGCAAAAUGGUGCCGUAACUUCGGGAGAAGGCACGCUGAUAUGUAGGUGAAGCGACUUGCUCGUGGAGCUGAAAUCAGUCGAAGAUACCAGCUGGCUGCAACUGUUUAUUAAAAACACAGCACUGUGCAAACACGAAAGUGGACGUAUACGGUGUGACGCCUGCCCGGUGCCGGAAGGUUAAUUGAUGGGGUUAGCGCAAGCGAAGCUCUUGAUCGAAGCCCCGGUAAACGGCGGCCGUAACUAUAACGGUCCUAAGGUAGCGAAAUUCCUUGUCGGGUAAGUUCCGACCUGCACGAAUGGCGUAAUGAUGGCCAGGCUGUCUCCACCCGAGACUCAGUGAAAUUGAACUCGCUGUGAAGAUGCAGUGUACCCGCGGCAAGACGGAAAGACCCCGUGAACCUUUACUAUAGCUUGACACUGAACAUUGAGCCUUGAUGUGUAGGAUAGGUGGGAGGCUUUGAAGUGUGGACGCCAGUCUGCAUGGAGCCGACCUUGAAAUACCACCCUUUAAUGUUUGAUGUUCUAACGUUGACCCGUAAUCCGGGUUGCGGACAGUGUCUGGUGGGUAGUUUGACUGGGGCGGUCUCCUCCUAAAGAGUAACGGAGGAGCACGAAGGUUGGCUAAUCCUGGUCGGACAUCAGGAGGUUAGUGCAAUGGCAUAAGCCAGCUUGACUGCGAGCGUGACGGCGCGAGCAGGUGCGAAAGCAGGUCAUAGUGAUCCGGUGGUUCUGAAUGGAAGGGCCAUCGCUCAACGGAUAAAAGGUACUCCGGGGAUAACAGGCUGAUACCGCCCAAGAGUUCAUAUCGACGGCGGUGUUUGGCACCUCGAUGUCGGCUCAUCACAUCCUGGGGCUGAAGUAGGUCCCAAGGGUAUGGCUGUUCGCCAUUUAAAGUGGUACGCGAGCUGGGUUUAGAACGUCGUGAGACAGUUCGGUCCCUAUCUGCCGUGGGCGCUGGAGAACUGAGGGGGCUGCUCCUAGUACGAGAGGACCGGAGUGGACGCAUCACUGGUGUUCGGGUUGUCAUGCCAAUGGCACUGCCCGGUAGCUAAAUGCGGAAGAGAUAAGUGCUGAAAGCAUCUAAGCACGAAACUUGCCCCGAGAUGAGUUCUCCCUGACUCCUUGAGAGUCCUGAAGGAACGUUGAAGACGACGACGUUGAUAGGCCGGGUGUGUAAGCGCAGCGAUGCGUUGAGCUAACCGGUACUAAUGAACCGUGAGGCUUAACCUU